UCCUGCCAUGACAAUAAUGGACUAAACCUCUGAACUAUGAUUCGUGUAUUGGUGAAGAUGGGGUAUUCAAGGCAUCAACCAUUACAGUAUUGAAAUCAAUGUGCACCUUUACACAUGGUGAUUUUUCCUUUGAAAUGGACUGGAGACACAUGCUGGAAAAGUCAUGAUAAAGAACAACAGGUCCUCUGCUGACAGAGCAGUUUUGGUGACGGAGUAAACCCAGAAAGCAUGGCAAAGUGCGUGCAGGCUCUUAAAGCUCCACACACGGUACGUCACUGAAACUCACAUUUCAUUGGGCAAAGCGCUUACCUACCUUACGUCAUCAUGGAAGCAUAAUUCUCCAGUGAGUCUGGAAGGGCGUAGACCUGGACACCCUGGCCAACCGGAGCAACUAGAAAUUUGUUUGUAGCAGGUUAACAAACCAGACAUCAUCUUCGGAUAAUAAAUGACAAGAAGAUAACUGCAGAAAAGUCAAGACUGAGAAGAAUGCCAUUCCAGAAUCCCAUGUAACAAUUUAAUAUGAAAACAUGCAUAGGGUCUGAUUCCCUUUCUUUCUAAAUCUGAUUAGAUGUCAUAAGGAGGAUUUUGGGGUUACUUUGUACCCUAUUAAAACUGACUUGUGAAGCAACCUUGUUUCUAAUCUAAAUUUAAACUUAAAAAUAAAUAAUAAUAAAAA